CGCCAAAUAACUACGAGUAAAAACUUAAAAUUUAAAAGACUUGACGGUACCUCACAACAGCCUAGAGGAGCCUGUCUAAUAACCGAUACUCCACGAUCAACCCAACCCCCCCUAGCCCAACAGUCUAUAUACCGCCGUCGCCAGCCUACCUUAUGAAAGAAACAAAGUAAGCUAAACAGUCAUACACUAACACGACAGGUCGAGGUGUAACUAAUGGGGUGGACCCAAGAUGGGCUACAUUUUCUAAUACAGAAUAUACGAAUAAACUAUGAAACAAGAAACUGAAGGCGGAUUUAGCAGUAUAUUAAGAACAAAAUACAUAGUAGAAACCAAUGCAAUGAGGUGCGUACACACCGCCCGUCAUCCCUGUCAACUAAUCACUUUAAAUCUUCAUAAACAAACAAAACUU
rnacentral:rRNA from 1 species